rnacentral:tRNA from 1 species
GCAUUGCUGGUUCAGUGGUAGAAUUCUCGCCUUCCACGUGGGAGAUCUAGGCUCAGUUCCCGGCCAAUGCA